rfam:Larimichthys crocea isolate SSNF unplaced genomic scaffold scaffold54, whole genome shotgun sequence.
GCCUGGAUAGCUCAGUUGCUAGAGCAUCAGACUUUUAAUCUGAGUGUCCAGGGUUCAAGUCCCUGUUCAGGCG